rnacentral:rRNA from 1 species
CGGCGGACGGGUGAGUAAUGCCUAGGAAUCUGCCUGGUAGUGGGGGACGAACGUUUCGAAAGGAACGCUAAUACCGCAUACGUCCUACGGGAGAAAGCAGGGACCUUCGGGCCUUGCGCUAUCAGAUGAGCCUAGGUCGGAUUAGCUAGUUGGUGAGGUAAUGGCUCACCAAGGCGACGAUCCGUAACUGGUCUGAGAGGAUGAUCAGUCACACUGGAACUGAGACACGGUCCAGACUCCUACGGGAGGCAGCAGAA